UACAGAGGGUGCAAGCGUUACUCGGAAUUACUGGGCGUAAAGCGUGCGUAGACGGUCAUGUAAGUCGGGUGUGAAAGCCCUGGGCUCAACCUGGGAAUGGCAUUGGAUACUGGCGACCUAGAGUGCGGUAGAGGGGUGUGGAAUUCCCGGUGUAGCAGUGAAAUGCGUAGAUAUCGGGAGGAACAUCUGUGGCGAAGGCGACACCCUGGACCAGCACUGACACUGAGGCACGAAAGCGUGGGGAGCAAACAGG
rnacentral:rRNA from 1 species